AUCGCAGCCUAACAUGCAAGGUCGAGCGGUAGCACAAGAGAGCUUGCUCUCUGGGGUGACGAGCGGCGGACGGGUGAGUAAUGUCUGGGAAACUGCCUGAUGGAGGGGGAUAACUACUGGAAACGGUAGCUAAUACCGCAUAACGUCUUCGGACCAAAGUGGGGGACCUUCGGGCCUCACGCCAUCAGAUGUGCCCAGAUGGGAUUACCUAGUAGGUGGGGUAAUGCCCCACCUAGCCAACAACCCCUAGCUUGGUCUUAAAAGUAUUACCAACCCCCCUGGAACUUAAACACCGUCCACACUCCUACGGGAAGCAACAAUGGCGGAAUAUUGCACAAUGGGCGCAACCCUGAUGCAUCCAUCCCCCGUCUGUUAAAAAAGCCUUCGCGUUGUAAAGCACUUUCACCAAGUGAGAGAAUCCUACUGUGUUAAUACCACAUUUCAUUGACGUUACUCGCACAAUAAACACCCGCUAACUCCUUGCCAGCAGCCGCGUCUAAUACGGAGGGUGCAAGCGUUAAUCGUCAAUUACUGGGCGUAAAGCCCACGCACGCGAUUUGUUAACUCAGAUAUGAAAUCCCCGCGCUUAACGCUGGGAACUGCAUUUGAAACUGGCAACCUAGAGUCUUGUACAUAGCAGCUAUAAUUCCAAGUUUACCUGUGAAAUGCGUAUAGAUCUUGAGUGAAUACCGCUGCGCUAAUGCAGCCCCCUGGACAAAGACUGCACGCUCAGGUGCAAAAGCGUGUUGUACCAAACACAGAUUUAGAUACCCUGGUAGUCCACGCUGUAAACCAUGUCCACUUU
rnacentral:rRNA from 1 species